GUUUAGGCGGCGCUCUGAAUCCCCUCUCCUCGCGCACCAGGAAACAAAGAGAAAUCUACCCAUGUUUCUGAAUUUUGGUUGCUACACAUGUCCCAUCUCUUUGAGGUCUUUCUUGCUAGUGUCCUUUUGAAUUCUGCAAUCAGCACAGCUGGACAUUGCUGCCUAGCCAUGGU